rnacentral:tRNA from 1 species
AUUUAUAUAGUUUAAUAAAAGACAUUUCAUUUUCAAUGAAAAAAUGAGAGAUAUCUCUAUAAAUA